UUGCAUGGAGCCCCUUAUGCAGGAUAAGACAGGCCCCGAAGCCACAUCGUCAGCUGUGGGUCAGAGGAAGAUCCUGGGACUUCUCCACCAUGGCCUGGACCCCUCUCCUGCUCCCCCUCCUCACUCUCUGCACAGGUUUGGUGGCCUCUUCUGAAGUGACUCAGCCCCCAGCAGUGUCUGUGAACCUGGGACAGACAGCUAGGAUCACCUGCCAGGGAGAGCUGGUAAGAAAAUAUUAUCCUGCCUGGUUGCAGCAGAAGCCAGGCCAGGCACCCAUGCUGCUCAUCUAUGAUGACAAGAACCGGACUUCAGUGAUCCCUGACCGAUUCUCCAGUUCUCACUCAGGGGACACUAACACCCUGACCAUCAGCGGCGCCCAGGCCCAGGACGAGGCUGACUACUACUGUGCAGAAAGUGAUGGCAGUGGGAGCAGCUGGCGUUGA